UACGUAGGGGGCAAGCGUUGUCCGGAUUUAUUGGGCGUAAAGAGCGUGUAGGCGGCUUUGCAGGUCCGCUGUGAAGGCCCCCAGCUCAACUGGGGAGGGUCAGCGGUAACGGCCGUGCUAUGAGUGCAGGAGAGGGAAGUGGAACUCCGGGAGUAGCGGUGAAAUGCGUAGAGACCCGGAGGAACACCAGUGGCGAAGGCGGCUUCCUGGUCUGCGACUGACGCUGUGGCGCGAAAGCUAGGGGAGCAAACGGG
rnacentral:rRNA from 1 species